AAUCCUGAUUAGAAAUGCAUUAGGAUUUCUAAUAAACCCCAUGAUGCAGCAAAUUGGUAUUAUGAAUCAAAAUGUUUAGAAAUCAUGUAAUUCUACUGCAACAAAUAUAUUAUGAAUAUUGAACAUAUUAACGAGAAGUGUCUUGGCAAAAAUAGAAUAAAGCAUUCAGGAUAAGAAUCUCACCUGCCAAUGGAACCUAAUCCAAUAAAUAUAGGUAAAGAUGAAUAAAAACUUCCCAUGACAGUGCUCCAAGUCAUCAUGAUUUGCACACAGAGAGUCGGGCCCAUUGCCUCCGCAUCUGCUCCCAGCUCCAUCAACGGACUACCACCAUAUCCCGCGGCAGCUCCAGCGGCGUCCCUUCCGAUCGGGGGCGACCACAUCAGCGCCCAGCACAAGCAGCGCACACACGGACGUCCCCGCCACGACGUGCAACAACAUCAGCCCAUCGGCGGCGGUGCGGGGCCUCCACAUUGGCGCGCAGCUCGAGCAGCCCAUGCACAACUCGAGCUAAAUACCCAUGCCUUGCCACUUGAUGAUAAAUAAAGUAUGGGUUCGUUAGUUAAUAUAUUUAAUCAAAUACGCCGAGUACAACAUAUGUUCAGUUUUAUCACAUCUCAUAUAUACAUUAUUGAUCUCAUCAAACAUUUUUGAAUGUUAACAUACAUAAACAAAAGGUCAUAUCAUAACUCCUAACAUACAUACAUGAAUGUUAGCACUGUCACUGUCCUAGGGGUAAAGAAUCUGCAUUGUUCCGUAACGAGUCUCGCCACUUUCAUCUGUUCUUGUGGUUACUCUCAUAAUCAUAGACAAUCUAUUUUUGGAAGGAUCAGGACGGUGUUGCAAUUACGCAUGUCAAGAGAAAGCUGAUCAGAUGCCAUAAGCCCAUAAUCAUGUGCGAAGAUGAAACUUAGAACGUGCCUUGCACUACAGUGAAAUUUUUUACCUCUCAUAUUUGCAGACCCAAUGGGUAAUAAGUAAUCCCAUAUGCACCCUUUCUCCGAGCCACAUCAU
rnacentral:lncRNA from 1 species